CCUACGGGGGGCUGCAGUGGGGAAUAUUGGACAAUGGGGGCAACCCUGAUCCAGCCAUGCCGCGUGUGUGAAGAAGGCCCUCGGGUUGUAAAGCACUUUCAGUGAGGAAGAACGCCUGGUGGUUAAUACCCAUCAGGAAAGACAUCACUCACAGAAGAAGCACCGGCUAACUCCGUGCCAGCAGCCGCGGUAAUACGGAGGGUGCGAGCGUUAAUCGGAAUUACUGGGCGUAAAGCGCGCGUAGGUGGCUUGAUAAGCCGGUUGUGAAAGCCCCGGGCUCAACCUGGGAACGGCAUCCGGAACUGUCAAGCUAGAGUGCAGGAGAGGAAGGUAGAAUUCCCGGUGUAGCGGUGAAAUGCGUAGAGAUCGGGAGGAAUACCAGUGGCGAAGGCGGCCUUCUGGACUGACACUGACACUGAGGUGCGAAAGUGUGGGUAGCAAACAGGAUUAGAUACCCGAGUAGUC
rnacentral:rRNA from 1 species